GAUGAACGCUAGCGGCAGGCCUAAUACAUGCAAGUCGAACGGUGUCUUCGGACAUAGUGGCGCACGGGUGCGUAACACGUAUGCAACCUACCUUACAUUGGGGGAUAGCCUUUCGAAAGGGAGAUUAAUACCGCAUAAGACAGUAGCUGGGCAUCCAGCAGCUGUUAAAGAUUUAUCGAUGUAAGCUGGGCAUGCGUCCAAUUAGCUAGUUGGUGAGGUAACGGCUCACCAAGGCAAUGAUUGGUAGGGAAACUGAGAGGUCAAUCCCCCACACUGGCACUGAGAUACGGGCCAGACUCCUACGGGAGGCAGCAGUAGGGAAUAUUGGGCAAUGGACGCAAGUCUGACCCAGCCAUGCCGCGUGCAGGAUGAAGGCGUUAUGCGUUGUAAACUGCUUGUAUACAGGAAGAAACGACUCUUGCGAGAGGCAUUGACGGUACUGUAUGAAGAAGCACCGGCUAACUCUGUGCCAGCAGCCGCCGUAACAC
rnacentral:rRNA from 1 species